UCGCUCGCGCCGAUGAUUUAAUUUUUAAGUUUAAACGCUGAUUUUGUAGCACAGAGAACACAAAACCCUGCGUCAAGCGUAGCAAACCGAACGAUACUCACAUUACCUACCAUAUAUAUAUGUAUAUUAUAUAUAUACUACAUAUAUCUCGACAAAAGUGCGAAUAUUAAAAUAAAAUAAACAUUAUACACAACGCCUCUAUGCUUGUGUGAGUGUGCGUAUGUGUGUGUGACUAAUAGCCAAGAAAACUAGCGAGCGAUCUAAAAAAACGAAAAACAAAAUAUAAACGAAAAUUACGCGAACAAACCUAAAAUAAAGCAAGAGAAGAGCAAUAAUAACCACAAAAACAACAACAACAAUUGACAACGAGCUAAAGAACAAGCGCAAAGCAACAAACCAAAAAUAGACCGCGCAAAGCAGAGGCAGGCGCAGCCAGCGACGACAACGACAUCAGCGUCAACGCGUAUGUUAUGUGCGGAGCAUAAUUAAACGACGCACGAAGAGCGUUGCUAAAGAAAGGAACAAUUUAAUGAAUAUAAACCCUAUAUCUAUACGAAUCCCAACGACGACGACGAAGACGAAGACUACGCGAAAUCCACAACGACAUUUUGUAAUCUAAAGAACUUGCAAGCAAGAUCGAGCGAGCGAGCAGAAAAGAGAUAUAGCGAAACAGCAGUAGAAGGAAAGAAGAGAUAAACAAUAAAGAAGAAGCUGAGCGAACAGCAACGAAACCCCAAACAAAAUAUUGGAUCAAUUUUAUAUUGCAUUAAAAGACCACGCUAAUAAUUAUAAAAGGAAUAAAUAUUAUUUGUCUUCAGCAGAAGGCUACGAAAGGAAAUUAAGUCUAGAUAACUGUAUUAAAACAAAAAAACAAAAAAAAAAA